rnacentral:rRNA from 1 species
GACCUCAAAUCAGGUAAGAAUACCCGCUGAACUUAAGCAUAUCAAUAAGCGGAGGAAAAGAAAAUAACAAUGAUUCCCUCAGUAACGGCGAGCGAAGAGGGAUAAGCUCAAAUUUUAAAUCUGUUGGGUUCCACUUAACAGAGUUGUAUUUUGAAGAAACGUUUUCUGCAUCCAGGAUUAGCCUAAAUCCUUUGGGAUAAGGUAUCAUGGAGGGUGAGAAUCCCGUUCAUGGUUAAUCUUAAGGAAGCUCUACGAUACGUUUUCCAAGAGUCGAGUUGUUUGGGAUUGCAGCUCAAAAUGGGAGGUAAAUUUCUCCUAAGGCUAAAUAUUGGCGAGAGACCGAUAGCGAACAAGUACCGUGAGGGAAAGAUGAAAAGAACUUUGAAAAGAGAGUUAAACAGUACGUGAAAUUGUUGAAAGGGAAACGAUUGAAGUCAGUCAUACCAACGGGAAAUCAACCUUUUGAGCUCGGUCUCGUGGGUUUUGAAGAGUUUCAAAGCCUUCGGAUUCGCGGGAUUGGGAUCUCUUGGUGUACUUUUUCGUACGGUUAGUCAACAUCGGUUUUGAAUGUCAUAAAAUGACUGGAGGAAUGUAGCUUCGAUCUCGUAUUGAAGUGUUAUAGCCUUUGGUAGAUGUGAUGUUUGAGACCGAGGAUUGCAACGGAUACCCUUUAGGGCUAUUCGUCUGAUCUCUGAUACGUUGCCUUGAUGUUGAAAGCUUGCUUAUGAUGUUAGGGUAUUACGGUCAAAAGGUUAGAACGGAUUAGAUUCGUUAAGGAUGUUGACGUAAUGACUUUAAACGACCCGUCUUGAAACACGGACCAAGGAGUCUAACAUAUAUGCGAGUGUUUGGGUGAUUAAACCCUUGCGCGUAAUGAAAGUAAUUUUGGUGAGAUCCGGGAAAAAUUUUUCGGAGCAUCAUCGACCGAUCAGGAUAUUUUUUGAUAGAUUUGAGUAAGAGCA